rnacentral:rRNA from 1 species
UACGUAGGGGGCAAGCGUUGUCCGGAUUUACUGGGCGUAAAGCGCGCGUAGGCGGAAGGUGAAGCGUGGCCUGAAAGCCCCCGGCUCAACUGGGGAGGGUCAUUCGAUACUGAUCGACUUGAAGGCAGGAGAGAGAAGUGGAAUUCCCGGUGUAGUGGUGAAAUGCGUAGAUAUCGGGAGGAACACCAGUGGCGAAAGCGACCUUCUGGACGGAUACUGACGCUGAGACGCGAAAGCGUGGGGAGCAAACAGG